rnacentral:rRNA from 1 species
UGCCAGCCGCCGCGGUAAUACGUAGGUGGCAAGCGUUGUCCGGAAUUACUGGGUGUAAAGGGAGCGUAGGCGGGAAUGCAAGUUGAAUGUUAAAACUACAGGCUCAACCUGUAGUCGCGUUCAAAACUGUAUUUCUUGAGUGAAGUAGAGGUAGGCGGAAUUCCUAGUGUAGCGGUGAAAUGCGUAAAUAUUAGGAGGAACACCAGUGGCGAAGGCGGCCUACUGGGCUUUAACUGACGCUGAGGCUCGAAAGCGUGGGUAGCAAACAGGAUUAGAUA